UACGUAGGGGGCAAGCGUUGUCCGGAAUCAUUGGCGUAAAGAGCGCGUAGGCGGCCCUGUAAGUCCGCUGUGAAAGUCAAGGGCUCCAACCCUUGGAUGCCGGUGGAUACUGCAGGGCUAGAGUCCGGAAGAGGCGAGUGGAAUUCCUGGUGGUAGCGGGUGAAAUGCGCAGAUAUCAAGGAGGAACACCAAUGGACGAAGGC
rnacentral:rRNA from 1 species